AGUAAAGUAGGUUCUUGCUUCAGGAGCACCUUGGAACAAUACAGAGUAGAUUUAUAUGGCUCUGUACAAAUGACCUGCAAAUUCAUGAAAUAGUCUAUGUUUUC
rnacentral:snRNA from 1 species